AUUGAACGCUGGCGGCAGGCCUAACACAUGCAAGUCGAGCGGGGUUUUCGGACCUAGCGGCGGACGGGUGAGUAAUGCGUAGGAAUCUACCCAACUCUACGGAAUAACUCAGGGAAACUUGUGCUAAUACCGUAUACGCCCUUCGGGGGAAAGAUUUAUCGGAGUUGGAUGAGCCCGCGUUGGAUUAGCUAGUUGGUGGG
rnacentral:rRNA from 1 species